AUUGAACGCUGGCGGCAUGCUUUACACAUGCAAGUCGAACGGUAACAGGCCGCCAAGUGCUGCCGAGUGGCGAACGGGUGAGUAAUGCAUCGGAACGUGCCCAGUCGUGGGGGAUAACUACUCGAAAGAGUAGCUAAUACCGCAUACGAUCUAUGGAUGAAAGCGGGGGACCGUAAGGCCUCGCGCGAUUGGAGCGGCCGAUGUCAGAUUAGGUAGUUGGUGGGGUAAAGGCUCACCAAGCCAACGAUCUGUAGCUGGUCUGAGAGGACAACCAGCCACACUGGGACUGAGACACGGCCCAGACUCCUACGGGAGGCAGCAGUGGGGAAUUUUGGACAAUGGGCGCAAGCCUGAUCCAGCAAUGCCGCGUGCAGGAAGAAGGCGUUCGGGUUGUAAACUGCUUUUGUACGGAACGAAACGGCUCUGGUUAAUACCCGGGGCUAAUGACGGUACCGUAAGAAUAAGCACCGGCUAACUACGUG
rnacentral:rRNA from 1 species